GCUACCACAGGAGAUAUGUUCAUGCUUUGGCCCCAAAAUACACAGAACCCUGUUUUUUCACAUAAAUAGCUUCACUGCCAAUCAUUUCUUGAACAUGCAACUGAAUGAGAUUUGAAUAAUGCUGUUUUGAUCAAGUUUGUACAGUGGUGACAACACCUUUGAGCUAAUAAUGUAUUUGGAGGGACUCCUGCCCUUGAGAGUUUUAAUGAAAAAUAAUUAAAGUGUUAUACCUUUCUUUCAUAUUUUUUAGUUAUUAAUAUCUGUUAAAGAUGUAUUUGAAUAUUAUAGUCUCUGUCAGAUAUGAAUGGAUAUUUGUUAUUUGUUUAAGGAAAGCUUUGUAAUGACUCUCAGGCUCUGUAGACACAGAAAACAAUUUCAAUUUCACCGUAGAAAAUGUAAAGCUCCUUUGGACUGAGUACUGUAUGGUUUAAUGCUACUUUUCCUAUCUAAAAUGUAACUUACCUACUCAAAACUGUAAAGAACUGUAGGUCUAUCAGGUACAAAUGCUACUGAAAAUAUCAGCUUUCAGAAAGCAAUGUUUUCAGGGUACAUAAAACUAAAAAAUUAAGGAUGGAGUUAGUUUGAUCUUAUGCUAUUUGCUGUCUACCUUAUGCUCUGAAGAGUCCAGUUACCUAACUUACUGGAGUUACCUGGUGUAUCCAUCUAUCCAUCUGUCCAUCAGCUUCUUUCAAAGCUUUGCUCCAGAGAAGCCUAGUUUCAUUUGGCGUUUGUUUUACUUUCGAAUUUAACUUCUUUGAUGGUUGAUAAAGCACCAGGAAUGCACUGAUUUACAGUUUGUAUAAGCCUUUAGAAUAAGUACAGCUACAGACUUUGUAAAUCAUGUGUAUCAUAAAUACAUAUGAAUUUCUUGUACGCUGCUUGACGAACAUCUGAAUCCAUUAUACACCUUAUUGCUGAAAGAAGAGUGUGGUUUCUCCUGUUUCCCAGGCCCUCUGCCACACUUACCAAUGGCCAGGACUGUACAAAUUAUGGCAUGGCUACAGACAAAGGAGAAGAUUCUGCCUCUACCACCUGGCCCCAUGUAUAUUGUGGAAAAACAAGGAUUCUAACUGCACUACAGCACAGCCCUAUCCUACCAGCAAAAGGUGCUUCUGGUAUUGAAAGUCGAGCAGAUGAAGCAGACUCUUCCUGAGGGGCUAUCCUCCUGCUCCAAUUUUCUCAAGGGUUCAGAGCAAGCUCCCAGGAGGAGAAAGAGCUCUGGAUCAGCACACUUCUGCUCAGGUCUUGGAUGCCCUUGCUGCUAAACUUCAGCAGAAAUGUGGCCCCUGCAGAAUGACUUCCACCAACCUGGCUAUUUGCAUGGAGCCAAAUCUUUUGAGCCCACCUGAGAUGGACAGGCUCCCCAUGGUGCAGGCGACAGGGAAGGUGAUAUUACCAGCUGACUACAGUCUUCUGAGCCCAGCCAAGCUUCUUUGAUUGCAGAGCACAGCAAUGCAGCCUUCUGUGGGGAAAGUUAUGGAAUAUGGAGUCAAGCCAUCUGAUACAAAAUAAGGCAGCAGAGGACUACAAAGCAUUGUUUUCCUACUAGAGGAGUUUGUUACAGACAACACUAAAACUCUGAAUGGAGACUCAGGUAUCCUUGUCUGUUUGUCUGUCUGUCUCUCUCUCUCUUUUUUGAAAUAAUUAUAUAUGUACCAACAAAGAUAUACUCUAGAAGAAAGCUUAUAGCUGAAAAUUUAUGCAACUAAUUGUCCACAUGGUUCCCAACACGAGACAAUCCAGUCCAGUUAUCUCCUGCAUCAUGGAAUGGGGUUCAUAUCACCUGGCUUACACUACCAAAAUAUGAAUUGUUCCUCUCUCAGCCUGUCAUCCAGACACUUUAUGAUCAGUGUGGAGAGACAGUCACACUGAGGGCAGUGCAGCUGUCCUACAUUGCUAUUCUAGACUGAGAUGAAACAUUGUUUGAAGGCCCUAGUCUGUCUUCAGUGACUGAACAGAGAGAAUAUUUAUGUCCCUGUAUCCAAGCUGGAUUUACAACCAUUAAAGAUAAGUGAUACAAAAUUAUACUCUUGGUCAUUCUAUUACCGAUCACACAAGUGGAUACCUCAUAAGAGUGUUUACGUGAAUUAUUUCCAUUACAACAUUUUAUGCAAAGCCAUCUGAUAUGAAUUAAACAAUCCCACUAUUAGAACAAUGCAAAUGCCUUUCGUUCAGUGUGCAAAGUCUUCCCUUCUCUUCUAAGACUGAAUCUGUUAAAAGUGAAGCAUUUCAUUGUAUUUUCAACUGGAAUGGAGAAGAGCAAAACCUAAAACAUCAGAGGAGUAGAAGCUAAUAUUUGGAGGAAGAUAUACUCUGUAAUACAUUCUUGUAAGUACUUCUUAUUUAUAUCUUGUAAAUACAUCUUUCUCAAGACAUCCAGCUGCCAAGUAUAGCAAAGCAGUGAUGCAUGCUGUGAGAGAUUUUGAGUACAUUUAUUCUUUUAUGCCUUUAUGAUAGAUAAGAAUUAUAGUAGUUAUACAAUUUGAAAAUGCAUUUUCAGCCCUUUAUGUCUCAGAAAGACCAAUAUUGGUAUAAAGAAAUUUAAGUGAGCAGUCUACUAACUGGACCUUCCAGCUGAGCUGGGCUCUCAGCCUAGCUUGUCUCUCUAACCUGCUGCUCUUAGGAGGUCUGGAGGACACAACUCAUAUGCAUGGGAGCUGCAGAGAUCCCACGUGAGUACUUUGAAAAAACUGUCUGCUUCUUCAGACAGCUGGUUUCUGCUCUGACUUACCUUCUGGAAGAACAAAAGGCUUUAAUUGACUACAGAGACAACCUGGUGGUCCUAAACUAAACUUACCUACUAUGAGAUAACUUUACAUACUCUUGUGUGAUGCAAAGAAAAUCCUUAACUAAAGGAAGAUGUGUUAGAGCAGAUGUGUGCCACAAAAAGAGACAAACUGAAGUAAUUAAGGCUGGAAUUCAGCAUCUUAUGGCCAGUGCUGUGGAGUAAUUCCAUUUCUGGCAGACAAAUGUUUUAAUCUGUGUUAGUGUUUGUCUUCAGAAUGAUGUAUACAAUAUGGACUGGGAAGCAUAGAUGUCAAAAUUAUGAGUGACGUAGGCCAAUUUUAAAUUACUAAGCAUCCAUUUUUAUACUGAAGUGUCAAAUGCACAAGCAAUCACAGUGAAACCCAAAGAAAUGCAGGGAAAAGGUAAGCAUUUUUGUAUCAAAUUUGGAAUGUUUUUGGGAUAUUUGUUGAUAUAAGCAUUUGUAUUUGAAGAAUUUCCUUCUACUGGUUAAUGAUGCAACCUGUUCAGAGGUAGCCAGUGAAAAGCAGAAGUAAAGGAUAGAAUGGCCUUUGCACUAUUUGUCCCAAGCUAUUUACAUAUCUGAAGAGUAACUCAAUGGAAGCCAUUCAUAGAGCCUGUCAUUUGGCUCUUUAGUAUCCCAAGAACAUUAUCCCAUGAGUCCUUCAAUCUGUGAAAGAAAAGAGAAGAACAAACAGGAUCAGAGGAAGGGCUCCCUGAGGUCUUUCUGGAGAUCAGGAUCAAUAAAUCUUUAGUACAAAUCUCAAGAACCUUGUGGAGACUUCCAAGCGCAGAGGAGCAUUGCUUUAUUUAUGUUCACAGCCUUUUGUGAGUGUGAUUCAGUCAAUACACCACUUACUAACAUAAACCUAGGUGGACUUCACCUAGCACUAGCUGUUCUUGUGUUGCAUUGAUACCUUAUGCCCUUAAAGAGAGCAGGUCUUCCUUCCUCUCUUCCUGGAGUGGAUCUGCCAUUGGUUUGUUCCAAAGGGCUGCCCAUAUGCUUCUGAUAACAUGAACAUUUUAUGGGCAGUGUUAUGAAUCAAAGCUGGUCUUUAACUGGCAUACUCAGGCAUUGUAUGCUGCAAAAGCAGCUGGUAGUUAUUAGUUCUGCUCUCUACCUAGUGUUGUGGUAAGGUGGCAAUCUUAUUUCCUUAUAUGUUGUUAUUAUUUCCUAUAUUAUGUCAGUGGAGGGUUUGGAUUUCCUUACAAAGGCUUAUGCAUUCUAAUUAGCAAGUUGCAGUUGAUCACAUUUCAGAAUUCCUAUUUCCCUUUUGUUUCUCUUUUUUUUGUUUGUCAGAAAACCAAUGAAGUCGGAAGUUCAGAGGAAGAGGAUACAGAGCAGAAAUCAUAUCAUACUCCUUCAAUCUCAGCUAGGCAGAGAGUAAAAUCAAGCUACUUAAAGAGUCCAAGUCCUUUCAUGGCUCAAGUAUAAUUAAAAACCAAAAAGCCACCAACAAACCCCUCCUUGUUCUUGUUUAACUUUCCCAGCAUUCAGAUUCUGGUUCCCUUACUAGCUUGUGUGGUGGAAGCACGUGUUGACGAGGGUGGCAUUCAUUACUGCAGCCUUCUGACAGUAGACACAGGAUACUUGUGGUCUUCAGACUCUGAGUUUCUUAACAGGCCAGCAGCUGCAGGGAGGUGCAAGGGAGGUGGUGUGGACAAUGGAAGGAUGAGUACAAACGAGUGCAGGAGGAGCAUGCAGGGCACACAUGCUGCUUCUUCAGCUUGACUGGAACACAGGUGAUAUUCUCAGCUCUGGAAGAUGCAGGAGUACAUCCGAAUAUCACUCUGGUUCGACAGAAAAAUCACCAUUGUGGCCACUGGGGAAUGCUUUAAAAAUGGGACUCAAGUUUGUUCAGUGUUAACCAUGGUCCACAAAAAUUAUAGUUACUACAGCUAAAACUACCUCUGUUCAUUUUAAUUCUGCUUAAUGUUCAACUAGGGAAGAUCAGGAUUUCCACCUCAGGCUGCAGUGUGGUCUGCAAUUCCCAAGUCAUUAAAGCUUCACUGAAGUUGUAGUGUUUAACAGAUGCUGCUCCUUUAAUUUCUGGCCAGGUUUCUGAAGAGAUUUUCCUUUCCUUACAAACUCCCACACAGAGACAAGGAAAGUAUAUUGAGAGGUAGAAAUAUUUAUUCUAAAAGAAAAACAAAGGUCUUACAUUCAGUCUAGCAGAAAGCUGAUACAUACAAUGCAUGCUCACUUUCCUGUCAGCUCAAGGAUGGAGAGACCCAUCCUUUGCUGAAUGCCACAGAUAUAAUAAUCCAAAUAUAGUGCUUUUCUUUUGCCAAUUAUUGAGAUGUUUUGCUGCGGUAAGGUAUGUGAAGUUUUGAAUUGUACCCCCAACCAUAAACACUGCACUUAGACCUUUCAAGAAUGCAGUGGCAAUGCCUAUGAGAAUAUUUUUUAUCCAUUUAAUGAGUACCAAAAGCCUCACUUGUUGUUAAUAGGACUUUAUGAGUAGCCAUUGACCUCAGUCUUUCUUGGUGGAUCAUUCAGCUUAAUAGCACUUCUCAAGCUGACCUACUUUGAAGAUGAGCCCCCUGGGGUAACACCCAUUGGUCUUAAUUUUAGAAGUUUGCUAAAUCAAAGUCCAAACCAGUCACCCUAAGCUUCCUAGCAGAGAAAUGAGUAAUUCCAGAGGAUGAUUUAUCUGGCCUAUUUCAGGAUUAAGUGAAUCAGUACCUAGAGUUGCCUGUUGUUGUUAUUUUUUUAGUAUAAAAGUAGCCUGCAAUGACAGGUUUUAGACAUAAAUGUUAGACUUUUAAAUGCCUGAAACAGGAACUUAAACCCUGUCUUGGAUAUCAGCAUCAUCAUUGAAAUACAGAAGCUUAGAGAAUAUGAAAAUACUAAAGUAGAACUAACAGGAUAAAUUUUAUAUUUUUUUAAUUAACGAAUAGUGAAAACACUUUAUGUUUAAAAACCCCUUAAGGCAAGCUUGAUCCCUUUUUUAAAAAGGCAGAUUUUCAGUGGCUUUGCCUUGUUAAUGAGUUACCAAUCUCUGCUCCAACAGGACCAUUAACAAAUCACUUUUUACCAAUUAUUUUUUUCACAAAGGUGAUGAAGUUUCUUAAAAACAUUAAAGAGUUUCUAGUGCUUGCCUAAAUUGUCCAGCCAUAAAUUUCUGCUCAAGGAACCUAAGUACUGAUUUGACAAUCUGUAAAACUGAGAUGGUAGAAACCUCCAGCUAUGAGUAAUCAAAACAUUUUGGGAGAGAUGAUGCUAGAGGGAAUAGAUCUGUUACUGAUACAUGAAAAAGUUUUAAUAAUCAAAGGUGUUUUUAGAUCCUUUGCUCUCUGCUGGAUGUUUCCACACCCUCACUUUCUCUAAAUGCUUGUACACUGCUCAUGUCACCAAGUUACAGAGGGUAAAAUUUUCCUGUGGGUAGAGGGAGAGAAGGAUGAUUAAUUCUUUCCAGCUUUCUUUUUCAGACUGAUUUUUUGGCUGUAUUAACCUAGCAAAAUCAACAACACAAGGCUUUGAAUGUCCAGCCACACCCUUUAAAGGAAGACAGUGCUCCAAAGAACAGACCAUCAAUUGAAGCCCUGGAAACUUGCCGUUUAUAUCCAACCUGACUACUGGUCCAGGGGCUGAGGCACAGCUGCUGAGAGAAGCAGAUGACUUCAUCUGACUUGAGAGCUACACUGGAGCCUUCACACAUGAGCAUCUAUGCCAGAAAACCAGAGGAGUAACUCAAAGAAAUUAAGAAAGAAAGGAUACAGCUCCCUGUACUGUCACAUUGAAUGCCUGUGUGACUUUAUAUGACAUUUGCAUUAUCAUGGAAAUUCUCACUCCUAUCAAUGAAAAUUAUUCUGACCAACAGUGGUGAAUUAAAAUGUAAGCCUAUGCAAGAAUAAUAGUGGUGCUUUUUGUACAGAAAGAGUCCAACAAAAAAGUCCAUUCUAUAUUUGUUUAUGGGUGGGACUUGUAAAUAAUAUGAGUUUAGUCGUUGAUUUAAGAGAGCGGUAUUUUUCCUAUUAAUAUAAAAAUGUCAUUUUCCAGGUUUUGAUAUAUGGUGGUUGGUAUAUUCCAGCAAGAAAGACUGAGGCUGUAUUUAUUUAGUGGUUUUCUAUAUAUGAUUUCAAUGAUUGAACUGAAAACUCAAUUACUGAAUCCCCGUUUUGGGCAUAUAUGCUAGUGGUUUUGACUCCCACAUGUAAGUCACAAGAAUAGGGCUUUUUAAUAAAAUUCAUAUCAUCUGAAAUACAGGAAAUACACAUUUCUUUUACCUUAUCACCAUAAAAAUAGUUUCUAGUCAUGUUUAUUCUGUGUUACAGAAGUAUUACUUCUUCAAUACUGAUGUUGAUUUUACCAGCUUACUAUGCCACAUUAAGUGUUUAGUUCCUGCUUGCUCUGCCUGACUUGUAGCUGGACAGAUUCACUGCUCUUACCUGCCCUUCCAUCUGUCUGGAUGUUUAUAAAUGUUAAUCACAACAGUCCUAUGCUCUGCAUCCUCCAUGAAUAAAUGGAGGAAUGUACCUGGCAGAGCUGUCACACAGCUACACUCACACAUAUAUUCUGUGAAAAUUCCUACCAUAAAAUACACUUUCAUGUGUUUUUUUUAGUGCUAGGGCACCACACAGGUAGUCAGGCAUCUUCAUGACUGGCCAGUGUAAGAUCCUUUAUGGAUAUAUUCCCUAUAUUAGCUGUCUUCUCUUAUUUUCUUCAGCUGCUCCUCUUGUAAUUACAAUAAAAUGAACACCACUAUGUUUUCUUUCUUUAUUUCUCUUUAGCAGCUCCUGGAUUUAUUUUAUUAAGCAGUUCUCUUGAUAUCCAUAAAAGAUAUUUUGCAAAACCCAAGGUUGCCCUCCCCAAAAGCAUAUUAUCAAUACAAUAGAUAGUCUAGAAGUUAUAUUUACCCAUGAUCCUUUUACAACUGAAGCAUAUUUUCUCCUAUAUUUAGGGGAUAAUAAAAAUGGUAAUUUAAAAUCAUUCUGUAUUGAAGAUGAUCCAUUUUCCAGUAUUUCCUGUCCAUAUUAUCUGCAUCCUUCUGCUCAGUCGUGAAAGAAUGGGUUUCAAAGAGACACAGCCCUGGUGGAAAUUCCUCUGUCAAGACAACAUCAUCAAGCUGAUGUUUUUACAACUAUAACUCAAUUCCCUCAAUUUUCUGGCAAGCUAUAACACUGAUAUACCUUUAAAUUGUUGAGUAGCAGGCAGUAAUUUCCACACU